rnacentral:lncRNA from 1 species
CAUAUUUAUUUCUACCUAGGCCGCUUUUCUAAUGUGCAGUUACGCAGGCUCAUAUAUCACGAUUUUACCAUUAAAUAUCUAUUUAAAACGACCAACAAUAUAUGCUGUGAAAAUUAAAUGUUCAAUAAAGUUGAAUGUUUGUUUUAUUUUAAAAUGAAAUAUUCAACUUUUUGGCCCCAAUGUAUAUAUUGGAGAAGAAACUAGCUAAAUGGUGCUCUGAUAGGCUUAAAGGCUAUGAAUAUACUGUAACAUCUCCAACGAACCUGAUAGAUAAUCUCUUAGAGGUAGGCCUUCUUCAGGAACAGAUUAUGCAGGUAUACGAUUUCAAGGCCCUUUAUCUGUCAAUUAAAUUAGAACCUGCAUGCCUGCUGCUUUAUAGAUUUCUUUUGCAGCAUUGCCCUGAGAAAAACAGUAGUCCAGAGUUAAUUAGAAAAAUCUGCCACAUAAUGGUUCAUAAACUGUAUUUCAAGUUAAUGUAACAUAUAACAUUAUUGGGAUACCAGACAGUUGGUGUCCCAAUAGGAAGCCCCUUGGCAGGGGUGAUGGCGGAGUUGUUAGUACGUUAUAAAGACGUUAUACGUUACAAAGUACGUGUUCUUCGCAUUGCAGGAGCUAACAUAAAUUUUAUAUAAAAGAUAUGUGAAUGGCAUUCUUGUUAUUGCUGAGAGGCUGGUCGACUGUUUGAGAUUGGAAGAGAGAUUAAUGGACCCAGUGCUGGGGCUAGAGUUAAUAAAACAAAAAGAGAGUGACCAGGAAAUUCUGUAUCUUGAUAUUAAGAUAAGAAUAGUGGCUGGAGAGUACAAUCUUAAUAUUUUUAGGAAGGAUACGUAUGUUCCUUUGUUCAUUAAAGCGAACGUGCAAGAGGCUUGGUCCUAUAAAAUGGCUACCUUUUAGAGCUUUAAUGCAAAGAAUACAAUCCCACUGUACGACCUGGAUUAGUCGGAGAGAGGAAUUGGAAUGGAUUCUAAAACAGGAAGUGCUAUGGAUAUCAGGAAUUUAAAUAAUGCGUUUGUGGAAUAGUGUCAGCUAGAAGACCACGAAGUGAAGAUAAGAGUACCAAAAGAUUUUGAUCUAGAGAUCAACCUGAUCACACUUAAAUUUAAAAAGAAAAUAGAGAAGUACAUGGGAUCUAAAAUUAUCUUUAAUAGAAGAAACAGCUUUUAAUCUUUUAAGGACUGAUAAGGAUAGG